rnacentral:rRNA from 1 species
GAUGAACGCUGGCGGCGUGCAUAACACAUUCAAGUCAACGGGGUAGCAAUACCCAGUGGCGGACGGGUGAGUAACGCGUGAGCAACCUGCCCUUGUGUGGGGGGAUACCAUCUGGAAACGGAUGUUAAUACCGCAUAAGCGCACGAGACCGCAUGGUCCUGUGUGAAAAGAUUUAUCGGUAAGAGAUGGCUCCGCGUCUGAUUAGCCAGUUGGCGGGGUAACGGCCCACCAAAGCGACGAUCAGUAGCCGGCCUGAGAGGGUGAACGGCCACAUUGGGACUGAGACACGGCCCAGACUCCUACGGGAGGCAGCAGUGGGGGAUAUUGCACAAUGGAGGAAACUCUGAUGCAGCGACGCCGCGUGAGUGAAGAAGUAUUUCGGUAUGUAAAGCUCUAUCAGCAGGGAAGAAAGACCUCGAAAGAGGGGAUGACGGUACCUGAGUAAGAAGCCCCGGCUAACUACGUG